AACGAACGCUGGCAGCGUGGAUGAGGCAUGCAAGUCGAGCGGGAUUGCUGGUGUAGCAAUACAGCGGCAUGAGAGCGGCGAAAGGGUGCGUAACGCGUAGGCAAUCUGCCUUCAAGUUUGGGAUAACUCCGCGAAAGCGGUGCUAAUACCGGAUGUGAUCCGCCGAUCGCAUGAUUGGUUGAUUAAAGACGGGGACCUUCGGGCCUGUCGCUUGUUGAGGAGCCUGCGUCCUAUCAGCUAGUUGGUGAGGUAAUGGCCCACCAAGGCUUACGGGUAGGUGGACUGAGAGGUUGGUCACCCACACUGGGACUGAGACACUGCCCAGACACCUACGGGAGGCU
rnacentral:rRNA from 1 species